UCCGAAUUGGUGUAGUGGCUAACAUUUGGUGCUCUCAUGGAAUGGAAUUAGUAUUCUCGAUAAUACUAAAUCAAACGUGAUCCGCCAAGCCCGGGGUUCGAUUCCCCGAUUCGGAG